UACGGAGGGUGCGGGCGUUGUCCGGAAUCAUUGGGCGUAAAGGGCGCGUAGGUGGCCCGGUCAGUCUUUGGUGAAAGCGCGGGGCUCAACCCUGCGUCGGCCAGGGAUACUGCCGCGGCUCGAGCACUGUAGAGGCAGGCGGAAUUCCGGGUGUAGCGGUGGAAUGCGUAGAGAUCCGGAAGAACACCGGUGGCGAAGGCGGCCUGCUGGGCAGUUUAGCUGACACUGAGGCGCGACAGCGUGGGGAGCAAACAGG
rnacentral:rRNA from 1 species